GAUCCUGGCUCAGGACGAACGCUGGCGGCGUGCCUAAUACAUGCAAGUAGAACGCUGAAGAGAGGAGCUUGCUCUUCUUGGAUGAGUUGCGAACGGGUGAGUAACGCGUAGGUAACCUGCCUGGUAGCGGGGGAUAACUAUUGGAAACGAUAGCUAAUACCGUAUAAAAUUGAUUAUCGCAUGAUAAUCAAUUGUAAAGGUAGGCAAAUAGCAUCACUACCACGAUGGACC
rnacentral:rRNA from 1 species